GACGAACGCUGGCGGCGUGCUUAACACAUGCAAGUCGAACGGGAACCUUUAUUUCGGUAAAGGUGAGAGUGGCAAACGGGUGAGUAACACGUAGGCAACCUGCCGACAGGAUGGGGACAACAUUCCGAAAGGAAUGCUAAUACCGAAUGGAGUCCGGGGAUGGCAUCAUCCCUGGAUAAAAGAUGGCCUCUGAAUAUGCUAUCGCCUGUCGAUGGGCCUGCGUCUGAUUAGCCAGUUGGCGGGGUAACGGCCCACCAAAGCGACGAUCAGUAGCCGGUCUGAGAGGAUGAACGGCCACAUUGGGACUGAGACACGGCCCAGACUCCUACGGGAGGCAGCAGUGGGGAAUCUUCCACAAUGGGCGAAAGCCUGAUGGAGCAACGCCGCGUGAGUGAAGAAGGUCUUCGGAUCGUAAAGCUCUGUUGCACGGGACGAAAACCGAGCU
rnacentral:rRNA from 1 species